UACAGAGGGUGCAAGCGUUGUUCGGAAUUAUUGGGCGUAAAGCGCGUGUAGGCGGCUUUGCAAGUCGGAUGUGAAAGCCCUCGGCUCAACCGAGGAAGUGCGUUCGAAACUGCAGAGCUUGAGUACCGGAGAGGGUGGCGGAAUUCCCCAAGUAGAGGUGAAAUUCGUAGAUAUGGGGAGGAACACCGGUGGCGAAGGCGGCCGACC
rnacentral:rRNA from 1 species